ACGAUAGCUUGGCGUUCCAGGGGGUUGUCGCUGGCCCACGUUCUUGGGCAUGUGCACACCUCCUGGUCGUCUCAUCCGCUUUUCACACCUGUGCACAAACCGUGGCCGAUGUCAGAGGGGUGUGGUGCCCUCCUCGCCCUCUCCUUCGUGGUGUUGUGAGAGGGGGGGCACUAUAAGCCCCUCUGCGCCAUCUCGCCACCCUUUUUUCCACCACACUCGUUUUGCAGAAUGUGCGUCGUUAACGGCGUGCGCCAUCGCAGGCGCCGCAAACAAAAA
rnacentral:misc_RNA from 1 species